rnacentral:rRNA from 1 species
AGUGAACGCUGGCGGUAGGCCUAACACAUGCAAGUCGAACGGCAGCACAGUAAGAGCUUGCUCUUACGGGUGGCGAGUGGCGGACGGGUGAGGAAUACAUCGGAAUCUACUUUUUCGUGGGGGAUAACGUAGGGAAACUUACGCUAAUACCGCAUACGACCUACGGGUGAAAGCAGGGGAUCUUCGGACCUUGCGCGAUUGAAUGAGCCGAUGUCGGAUUAGCUAGUUGGCGGGGUAAAGGCCCACCAAGGCGACGAUCCGUAGCUGGUCUGAGAGGAUGAUAAGCCACACUGGAACUGAGACACCGUCCAGACUCCUACGGGAGGCAGCAGUGGGGAAUAUUGGACAAUGGGCGCAAGCCUGAUCCAGCCAUACCGCGUGGGUGAAGAAGGCCUUCGGGUUGUAAAGCCCUUUUGUUGGGAAAGAAAAGCAGCAGGUUAAUACCCCGCUGUUCUGACGGUACCCAAAGAAUAAGCACCGGCUAACUUCGUG